CGUUCACUUCAUCCCAUUCACUUCUUAAAACACAUUCAUUCAACCUCAAAAAUGUUGGCAUACUUUCAGCAGAAAUUAACACGUUCAUACAUAGAAAGUGAUUAUUUCGUGCUUCCUAAUAACAUUCUUGACAUUAUACCAACCACUAAAACCUAUGCCUUUGUUGCUUAUGGUGAUAGAUGUUACCCUAUGACCUAUAAAAUUUGAAAACACGCGUGCCUCUGUCUCGGGUGGAAAGACUUUGUGGAAUCCGAGCUAUUGACGGAGGGAGAUGCACUUUGUAUUUGGGUCUGUGAGUGUAAGUGUGUGAAGGGCAUAGGGUUCAAUGUUGAAAAAAAGCAAGAGAUCAUAAUUAUUGAUUA